rnacentral:rRNA from 1 species
GGGUUGUGAGGUUAAGCGACUAAGCGUACACGGUGGAUGCCCUGGCAGUCAGAGGCGAUGAAGGACGUGCUAAUCUGCGAUAAGCGUCGGUAAGGUGAUAUGAACCGUUAUAACCGGCGAUUUCCGAAUGGGGAAACCCAGUGUGUUUCGACACACUAUCAUUAACUGAAUCCAUAGGUUAAUGAGGCGAACCGGGGGAACUGAAACAUCUAAGUACCCCGAGGAAAAGAAAUCAACCGAGAUUCCCCCAGUAGCGGCGAGCGAACGGGGAGCAGCCCAGAGCCUGAAUCAGUGUGUGUGUUAGUGGAAGCGUCUGGAAAGGCGCGCGAUACAGGGUGACAGCCCCGUACACAAAAAUGCACAUGCUGUGAGCUCGAUGAGUAGGGCGGGACACGUGGUAUCCUGUCUGAAUAUGGGGGGACCAUCCUCCAAGGCUAAAUACUCCUGACUGACCGAUAGUGAACCAGUACCGUGAGGGAAAGGCGAAAAGAACCCCGGCGAGGGGAGUGAAAAAGAACCUGAAACCGUGUACGUACAAGCAGUGGGAGCCUCUUUUAUGG